UGCCCUACCUCCCUGUCUCAGUGGUCCACUCAUCCGGUUACAGCAGCAGUGGCGGCAGCGGCGGCAGCAGCUAGAGCAAGAGCAGCGACAGCCCCGGGCUUCCAGAACAGGAGCUGAGAAGCAGCAGCGGCUCAGAGCCAGGCACCUGUGCGGAGCAGGAGUGGCAGGACAGGGGUGGGGUGGUGCCGGGCAGAGAAGGAAGGGGCACCUCCCAGCCGGAUUCUACUGCUGGGACUAUUCUCCGGCUGGCAGGGGAGGUGGCGCCGUGCUGGGACUCCUGGUGGGGGUAGCCAUGUGCAGCAACAGCUAGAGGCCUCUGGCAGGUGAACAUCUGGAGUGGAGAGGGACAGAGGAAAGCUGUGUCUGGGACCAUGACAGCCUCCCGCCUGGACUUUGGGGAGGUGGAAACUUUUCUGGACAGGCACCCAGAGUUGUUUGAGGAUUACUUGAUGCGGAAGGGGAAGCAGGAGAUGGUGGAGAAGUGGCUGCAGAGGCACAGGCAGGGUCAGGGGGCUGUAGGUCCAAGGCCCGCUUCGACAAGCGCCAGCAGCUUGGCUCAUGGCGCCGGCAGAGGUGGCAGCAGCGUUGGUGGUGGCACUGGACCAAAUGGCUCUGCUCACAGUCAGCCCAUUCCUAGUGGCGGGGACUGUGGUGGGGUUCCCCUGAGUCCCAGCUGGGCCAGUGGCGGCCGGGGUGAUGGCAACCUGCAGCGGCGAGCUUCUCAAAAAGAGCUAAGGAAGAGUUUUGCCCGCUCCAAGGCCAUCCACGUGAACAGGACCUACGAUGAACAGGUGACCUCCCGGGCCCAGGAGCCCCUGAGCAGUGUACGACGGAGGGCACUUCUCCGGAAGGCCAGCUCCCUGCCCCCCACCACAGCCCACAUUCUCAGUGCGCUGCUGGAAUCAAGGGUCAAUCUGCCUCAGUAUCCCCCUACAGCCAUCGACUACAAGUGCCACUUGAAAAAGCAUAAUGAGCGACAGUUCUUCCUGGAAUUGGUCAAGGAUAUCUCCAAUGACCUUGACCUUACCAGCCUAAGCUACAAGAUCCUUAUCUUUGUCUGCCUCAUGGUGGACGCUGACCGCUGCUCUCUCUUCCUGGUGGAAGGGGCAGCUGCUGGCAAGAAGAGCUUGGUCUCCAAAUUCUUUGAUGUGCAUGCAGGAACUCCACUGCUGCCUUGCAGCAGCACAGAGAACUCAAAUGAGGUGCAGGUCCCCUGGGGCAAAGGCAUCAUUGGCUAUGUCGGAGAGCAUGGAGAGACGGUCAACAUUCCUGAUGCCUACCAGGUAGGACUUUGUGUUGUCCUCUCCUCCCAGAGCCUCACUUGCUUAGGAACCAAGCCUUAGGUUACUCUUUGGCGUCCGGGAACACAUC